rnacentral:lncRNA from 1 species
UUUCUUGCCAGCCACGCUGUGGAGUACUUGGACGCGUGUGAUGGAGCAUUGUCCUGCAUGAAAAUCAUGUUUUUUUUGAAGGAUGCAGACUUCUUCCUGUACCACUGCUUAAAGAAGGUGUCUUCCAGGAACUGGCAGUAGGACUGGGAGUUGAGCUUGACUCCAUCCUCAACCCGAAAAGGCCCCACAAGCUCAUCUUUGAUGAUAC